CAUUUGAAACUAAGUAACUUGAGUAUGGGAGAGGGAAGUGGAAUUCCUGGUGUAGAGGUGAAAUUCGUAGAUAUCAGGAGGAACACCAGUGGCGAAGGCGACUUCCUGGACCAAUACUGACGCUGAGGCGCGAAGGGGUGGGGAGCGAACAGGAUUAGAUACCCUGGUAGUCCACGCAGUAAACGAUGAACACUAGGUGUAGCGGGUAUUGACCCCUGCUGUGCCGCAGUUAACGCAUUAAGUGUUCCGCCUGGGGAGUACGGUCGCAAGAUUAAAACUCAAAGGAAUUGACGGGGGCCCGCACAAGCGGUGGAGCAUGUGGUUUAAUUCGACGCAACGCGAAGAACCUUACCUGGAUUUGACAUCUCGGGAAUUUUAUUGAAAAAUAAAAGUGCCCCUUUGGGGAGCCCGAUGACAGGUGCUGCAUGGUUGUCGUC
rnacentral:rRNA from 1 species